CUGAAGUAAUUGCAGAGGACCUAAAACCCUCACAAAGCCUCGCCACCGCUAGCUUCACAGCCACCGCGUAGCAAUCUGAGAAGACGAUGGCUUGGCGCUCAGGAUCGCUAUCUCGGACCCUCAUCUCCACUGUUCGCUCUUCUUCUUCCCGGUUAACUCCAUCGGUUCCUCAACUCCGGCCGCCGCCCGUCACCGCUCCUCGCCGCCUGCCGGGCCGCCAUUUUUCUGCUGCUUCCAGGAGCUUGGGAGAACUGGGAUGCCUACAGUCCUUCUUGCCAAUUUACAGCAUGACAGCAGCUACCUGCCUGACAUCCCACCUCACUGUUAAUGUUAGGGCUUUUUGCGAGCUGUCUCAUGGUAUGAGUGGGAAAGAUGGAUGAUGAUGCUCAAGACAUGCACUCAUCCUGAGCUGGAGACUGAUUCAAUGUUUUAGGUACUUAAAGUUCAAUGGGAUCAAACACUACCAUAUGCGGCAAUAUGCGGUUACAGGGGGACUCAUGAAGAGUUGAUACUUUAGGAGCUUAUGCUUUGGAAAUAGGAUAAUAAAUUAUUAUAUUAUUGAUCAGAACUGGGAUUAAAGCAUUUCUGACAUACUCGAAUUAUUGACCUGUUGCUUCUCGUUCUUCAUUAUUCAAGAUAUCUGUCGUUAUUUACUAUUGAAAAGAGAAAUUUGUUUA